AUACGCCUAAUACUCAAGUGUGAAUAACCAUAGUGUUUUUGUCAUUGUUUUAAUUUAAGAUGAUGGUCCAAGGGAAAAAAUGUCCAGUUCAGCCUGCAACUCAACAACUGUAAGAAAGCUUUUUUCCAAGAAAUAAUUGUAUUUCUAGAUGGCAUCAGUGGCAAUUUACACAUACUUCCCCUUUUAUCAACAGAACAUUAAGGCAGUUCUUUUAGGGUGUCUAUAAGUUGCCUGGGAAGUGGAUGAGUUUCAAACUGGCAAUACUCUGCCUUCCUCUGCUUUAACUGGAGAAACCCUGCUUAUUGGAGUAUCUGGAAGGAGGCUACACAGAAAUUAGCAGGAAAUAAGUGACAACAAAAUUUAUCAGUUAAGAAGUGACCAAAGAAUUAACUGCAACCCCCAUCUGGUGCACUAUCACAUGGUGAAGUGUUAAGUGACAAUAGCAAUUUUUGGGAAUCUGGUUCAGAGAAUCAUGAAAGACCAGUGGAGGCAUCACUGUGAGCAAGAGUAAUAACCACAAUAUUUAACCAUCAAUAGGAAGAGGACUUAAAGCAAUCAGAAUACAUCAACAUCAUCAACUAUGAUGGGAGCUUAUUUAUUUUAUUCUGUAGUUUUCUGGAAAAAUUACUUAACUUCUGAUUCUGACAAGACAGCAUGAAACUAUUCAAGUAAGUGUCUCUAAAAUGAUAAUUUUUAUAUCCAUGGCACUUCUCAAGAACUAUUGAUAUCAUCUCAUCUAAUG